AUUAGAGGAGUGUGUCUUUAUUCCUGGUCAAUAAUCAUUUUAUGUGACAUGAAGUACAACAAUUUCUUUUUGCGUUGUUUGACUUUGUCAGGUACGGCUCGAUAAGGUUUUGGAUUGAUCGACUAAUCCUGUGUAUUAAUCUAUUUACCAAGGUCUGAUUUCUCGCAUUUUGCUCAGAAGAUGCGGUUGGUUUAUUUUCAGUUUCAGUGUUACAAUUUUGCGAUUAGGUUAUAUUAGUUGUGCUGGAUCUUUUUUUAUUUUUUAAGGAUCUGUGAUAGUAGCCAAGAUUGGCUGCACGUAUCAACAUUGGCGAAGCUUGCCCCCCCAAUUUUUCCGAAACCGAGGGGGGCGGAAACGUAUAUACCUAAAAAAUUUCUAUACGAAAAUACUAUUCAUAACACUACGCGCCGAAAAGUUCGGGGGGUCGGGCGCCCCCUCAGAAUAACCCUAAGCUGCGCCACUGCGUAUCAAUCUGAAAGUACUUGUUUGUGUCAUAGUUGGAAGUUUGGUUUAAUUCUUUCCAGUGAGGAGGAAGCCCGGCAAAGGUCCUGGUCGGCGACUGAAGGCAGUGGAGUGGCGGGAGAAGAUUUGGAGUCUGAGCGGCGGAUUGAGUUUCUCAGGCCUUGGCAGUGAAACAAUGCGAGCUCAAUCAUUGCCUAGGUGAUCUGAGCUGUAAACUUGAGUCUACUCAGUCAGAACCUGAACCAAACUAAAAGGGCAUUGGCUAACACCUAGGAGACUUUGAAGGAAUGCAAGUAUCCUCUCAAGGAGCGGAUGUAAUUUGUAUACAAUAAUAGAAAAAAUCACAUAUAUCUUUAUCUGUUCGUAUGAGUAUCUUCUUACAUUUUCUUAUGUCCUACGAACAUUUAGAUGUUUUAUUCAUACAUAUAUCUUCCUUUUUUAUUUUAUUA